rnacentral:misc_RNA from 1 species
GUGAAUCAUCAAAUUUUUGAACGCAAAUUGCACUCUCUGGUAUUCCGGAGAGUAUGCCUGUUUGAGGGUCAGUUUAUAUAAAAAUCGGUGUGGUUGCUGCCUUUCUUGGUGACUCACCGGAUUUGGGUCGUCUUGCCUUCGGUUAAGUUACUUAAAAUCUUUCAUGAUUUUUUUCGUACGUAUUUAAAUGAUUUUACGUACGCUUGCGUUAUCGUGUACUAGUUGCGGUCAUCCUCAU